GCAUGGUUCAAAAGUGAAAGACGGUCUUGCUGUCACUUAUAGAUGGAUCCGCGCUGCAUUAGCUAGUUGGUAAGGUAACGGCUUACCAAGGCAACGAUGCAUAGCCGACCUGAGAGGGUGAUCGGCCACACUGGAACUGAGACACGGUCCAGACUCCUACGGGAGGCAGCAGUAGGGAAUCUUCCGCAAUGGGCGAAAGCCUGACGGAGCAACGCCGCGUGAGUGAUGAAGGUCUUCGGAUCGUAAAACUCUGUUAUUAGGGAAGAACAUAUGUGUAAGUAACUGUGCACAUCUUGACGGUACCUAAUCAGAAAGCCACGGCUAACUACGUGCCAGCAGCCGCGGUAAUACGUAGGUGGCAAGCGUUAUCCGGAAUUAUUGGGCGUAAAGCGCGCGUAGGCGGUUUUUUAAGUCUGAUGUGAAAGCCCACGGCUCAACCGUGGAGGGUCAUUGGAAACUGGAAAACUUGAGUGCAGAAGAGGAAAGUGGAAUUCCAUGUGUAGCGGUGAAAUGCGCAGAGAUAUGGAGGAACACCAGUGGCGAAGGCGACUUUCUGGUCUGUAACUGACGCUGAUGUGCGAAAGCGUGGGGAUCAAACAGGAUUAGAUACCCUGGUAGUCCACGCCGUAAACGAUGAGUGCUAAGUGUUAGGGGGUUUCCGCCCCUUAGUGCUGCAGCUAACGCAUUAAGCACUCCGCCUGGGGAGUACGACCGCAAGGUUGAAACUCAAAGGAAUUGACGGGGACCCGCACAAGCGGUGGAGCAUGUGGUUUAAUUCGAAGCAACGCGAAGAACCUUACCAAAUCUUGACAUCCUUUGACAACUCUAGAGAUAGAGCCUUCCCCUUCGGGGGACAAAGUGACAGGUGGUGCAUGGUUGUCGUCAGCUCGUGUCGUGAGAUGUUGGGUUAAGUCCCGCAACGAGCGCAACCCUUAAGCUUAGUUGCCAUCAUUAAGUUGGGCACUCUAAGUUGACUGCCGGUGACAAACCGGAGGAAGGUGGGGAUGACGUCAAAUCAUCAUGCCCCUUAUGAUUUGGGCUACACACGUGCUACAAUGGACAAUACAAAGGGCAGCGAAACCGCGAGGUCAAGCAAAUCCCAUAAAGUUGUUCUCAGUUCGGAUUGUAGUCUGCAACUCGACUACAUGAAGCUGGAAUCGCUAGUAAUCGUAGAUCAGCAUGCUACGGUGAAUACGUUCCCGGGUCUUGUACACACCGCCCGUCACACCACGAGAGUUUGUAACACCCGAAGCCGGUGGAGUAACCUUUUAGGAGCUAGCCGUCGAAGGUGGGACAAAUGAUUGGGGUGAAGUCGUAACAAGGUAGCCGUAUCGGAAGGUGCGGCUGGAUCACCU
rnacentral:rRNA from 1 species